GCUGAAAAACUGCAGAUCAACUAAAGAAACUCACACGCGUGUAAAAACAGCAGUUCCAGUCGUGUUUGUGUGUGUGUGUGUGUGUGUGAG